AAGGACAGCAGCGGAGGCUGCGCGGGGGACAGAUUUGGCGUGCGGCUUCCUAGAGUCCGCGGCGAGAAGGAGAAUUUCCCAAGCAUGGUGAUGCAUACCUGUAACCCCAGAACUUGGAAGAUAAAGACAAGAAGAUUACUAUUAGUGUUGCCUGGGCUACAUAAUCAAUACUUUGACAAGAUGGAGCUCAAUUCUCUCUCUCAGAUCUAGUGAAGGCAAGAACAUCUAUCAUUCUAUUCAACAUAGUUCUUCUACCUGAAGAAGACAUGCAAAUUUUAACAGGUUGGAGUUGGCCAAUAUUCAGAACAUAAUAUAUGAUCUCUGCAAGAACAUUGGAAUCUCUAAUUCAGCCCUGCUUUUUCAGAAAUAAGAACUCUGGAUCCCAGAGAGAUGAAGAGACUUGCCCGUAGUUACAUACACUCCCAUUGCAGAACAAGCCCUGAAUCAGGAGGAAGGAAUUGUGUGAAGGGAGAUCAGACUUUAGAUUUCUAAAUAUGUGGUAUCCUCAUCCUGGAUAUGUCCAUGUUAGCCACUUGAGUUUUCUGAAAAUUUAAUAUGAUGCUAUUUUGCAUUAAGUAGAUAAUCCAUAAAAAGUACUCGUAUUUUGUAGUUGCCCAAUAAAUUAUGACUUGCCUUUCUUCACUCA